rnacentral:rRNA from 1 species
GAUGAACGCUGGCGGCGUGCUUAACACAUGCAAGUCGAACGAAGCACUUUAUUUGAUUUCCUUCGGGACUGAUUAUUUUGUGACUGAGUGGCGGACGGGUGAGUAACGCGUGGGUAACCUGCCUUGUACAGGGGGAUAACAGUUGGAAACGGCUGCUAAUACCGCAUAAGCGCACGGCAUCGCAUGAUGCAGUGUGAAAAACUCCGGUGGUAUAAGAUGGACCCGCGUUGGAUUAGCUAGUUGGUGAGGUAACGGCCCACCAAGGCGACGAUCCAUAGCCGACCAGAGAGGGUGACCGGCCACAUUGGGAGUGAGACACGGCCCAAAAUCCUACGGGAGGCAGCAGUGGGGAAUAUUGCACAAUGGGCGAAAGCCUGAUGCAGCGACGCCGCGUGAGCGAAGAAGUAUUUCGGUAUGUAAAGCUCGAUCAGCAGGGAAGAUAAUGACGGUACCUGAAUAAGAAGCACCGGCUAAAUACGUG